rnacentral:tRNA from 1 species
GGCCUUACUGGGAAUAAAUUAGCUUGAAACUAAUUUUGGGGUGUUCGAAUCAUUUGAAGGCCU